UGAUGAUGAAGAAGGUAAUUUUUUAGAAUACCCUUAAAUCUCUCCCAAGCUUGGUAGAGAUUCUCUCUGUCUUUCUUUCUAAAACUCAAGAUUUCACUCCUCAAGCG
rfam:Capsicum annuum cultivar Zunla-1 chromosome 11, whole genome shotgun sequence